rnacentral:rRNA from 1 species
AUUGAACGCUGGGGGCAUGCCUUACACAUGCAAGUCGAACGGCAGCACGGGGCAACCUGGUGGCGAGUGGCGAACGGGUGAGUAAUGCAUCGGAACGUACCUUUCAGUGGGGGAUAACGUAGCGAAAGUUACGCUAAUACCGCAUAUUCUGUGAGCAGGAAAGCAGGGGAUCGCAAGACCUUGCGCUGAUUGAGCGGCCGAUGUCAGAUUAGCUAGUUGGUGAGGUAAAGGCUCACCAAGGCGCCGAUCUGUAGCGGGUCUGAGAGGAUGAUCCGCCAAACUGAAACGGAGACACGGUCCAGACUCCUACGGGAGGCAGCAGUGGGGAAUUUUGGACAAUGGGGGCAACCCUGAUCCAGCCAUGCCGCGUGAGUGAAGAAGGCCUUCGGGUUGUAAAGCUCUUUCGGCCGGGAAGAAAUCGCACGGGCUAAUACCCUGUGUGGAUGACGGUACCGGAAUAAGAAGCACCGGCUAACUACGUGCCAGCAGCCGCCGUAAGAC